UGGGGAAUAUUGCACAAUGGGCGAAAGCCUGAUGCAGCGACGCCGCGUGGGGGAUGACGGUCUUCGGAUUGUAAACCCCUUUCAGUAGGGACGAAGCGCAAGUGACGGUACCUGCAGAAGAAGCACCGGCCAACUACGUGCCAGCAGCCGCGGUAAUACGUAGGGUGCGAGCGUUGUCCGGAAUUACUGGGCGUAAAGAGCUCGUAGGCGGUUUGUCACGUCGUCCGUGAAAACUCGGAGCUUAACUCCG
rnacentral:rRNA from 1 species